rnacentral:lncRNA from 1 species
AUUCACUCUCCCUCACUCUCAAACACUAUACGCCCUUAGCCGGAAACGUUGCUUGUCCACUAGAUACAAACGGAUAUCCUGAGUUACGUUAUGUGACAGGAGAUUCUGUGUCUGUUACUUUUUUCGAGACUGAUAUGAAUUUCAAUUAUCUCAUUGGUGACCAUCCGCGUAAGGCUAAGGAUUUUUAUCACUUUGUUCCUAAGUUAGGGGAACCUAAGGAUGCACCGGGGGUCCAACUAGCCCCGCUCUUAGCCAUUCAGGUGACACUUUUUCCGAAUCUUGGUGUAUCCAUUGGUUUCACUAACCAUCAUGUUGUUGGUGAUGGAGCUACUAUAGCAGGGUUCAUUAAGGCGUGGGCUCUACUCCACAAAUUCGGUGGACAUGAACAAUUCUUAUCGAAUGAGCUAAUUCCAUUUUAUGAUAGGUCCGUAGUAAAAGACCCAUAUGGACAAGGGAUGUCCAUCUGGGAAGAAAUGAAAAGCAAGAAUCUAGAUAUGCGUGACGUUAUGACUCCUCCUCCUGAACACAAGGUUCGAGGUACAUUUACUAUUAAAAGAGAUGAAAUAGAGAAACUGAAGAAUUUUAUAUUGAACUCAAGAAGACGGGGUAGUAGUAGUACUACUCUAACUCAUGUAACAUCUUUUACUGUAACGAGUGCUUAUAUAUGGACUUGUUUGAUAAAAUCAGAGGACGCGAUAGGAGAAGAGAUGAUCAUAGAUGAUAGUGUAAUGGAAUGUUUCGGAUGUGCAGCAGAUUUUAGAGCGCGAUUCAAUCCACCACUUCCUCAAUCUUAUUUUGGGAAUUGCAUAGUUGGGUAUGUCACAAAAUCAAUAAGGCAUGUUGACUUAGUUGGAAGGGAAGGGUUUAAAAUUGCGGUAGAAUCAAUUGGAGAAGUCAUUCAAGAAAAAAUGAAGGAUGAUGAAUGGGUCCUUAAUGGUGAUUGGUUAAAAGUAUACGACAAUGUAGAUGUGAUUCGAUCAUUUUCAAUUGCUGGAUCGCAAAAACAUGACUUAUAUGCUGCUGAUUUUGGAUGGGGAAGAGCCGCAAAGUUGGAAUUCAUUUCCAUUGACAAUGAUGAUGGCGGUAUUUCGAUGUCUCUUAGUAAAUCUAAAGAUUUUGAUGGAGAUUUAGAGAUUGGUUUGUGUUUGUCUAAAACUCGAAUGAAUGCUUUUGCUUCUAUAUUCACUCACGAGCUUAGCUUUCUAUGCCAAGUCUGAGUACCAAUAAAAAGAGACAUAAAGACUAUCCUCUAGUUGUGUUGUAAUAAUACUUCUCCAAGUAAGAAUCCUUCUCAAAUUGUUAUUUGUGCAUCUUGAUCAUCAUGUCAUCCAUGACUUUAUUAUUCAAUGGUUUAUGUUAGUUCUUUCUAUAUUAAAUAUGAUAAAUUAUCGUGGACAUGAUCUUACAUAAAAAGAUGUGAUGGUCAUAUAAUAGCAGAAGGUUAUUAAUAGUACCGAUAUACAUGACAUGGGUUGGUUCAGAUUUUUUAAAAGAGAAUUUCAUACAAAUCCUAUUGCCUUGAGAGAUUAUAAAAAUCACUGAAAUUUGGUUGAAUCUGUAUACAUCUCAAAACACCCUGAUACAUCUCUCAAUGUUCCAAUGCAUUAAGUUUUGAUUUCGGAUACAACACUCAACCUUUGGAUGCAUUGCUUACGUCGUGAUACAUCACGUGAAGUGAUGUAUCUGACCGAUAGGAGAGAGUAGGGAUUUUUCAAUUUUUUUUUUAAAUUGUAGGAAAUUUUAGAGAAUAUGGUAAGCUAAGUUGUAUAGUUAGGUAAUUUUUCCCUUUUAAAUACCAAAUCGAACCAUUUGAGGCGCAUUUUGAAUCUAUAAAUAAAAAAAACUAAUAAAAUUCAGAUUUUUCGACCUCAAAUUUUUUAAAAAGUUUUUUCCUCGAUAAAGUAUGAAUACGAACAUGACUUUUAUGCAGUCGAUUUUAAUUGGGGAAGGACUGAGAAAUUAGAGAUUUAGAAAUUGUAUCAGUUACGUAAUUAAUAAAAUUACUGUGAAUCCGAAGCCUAAAGGCAAAAAAAAAAGUUAAAGAUUCUAAAGGGGUAUAUCAAAUAAAAAAAUUAUAUCAAAAGGGCAAAAUCGCUAUGUCAUAUUUUGACAUUGUUAAGUCUGUUAAAUGUUCAAAAUCGCUGACGUACCAGCGAUUGUGGCGAAAUUUUUUAUCCAAAGAAAAUCAUUGCAUGGGCAGCAUUUUUGAUAAAAAAAUUUUUAUAAAAAUAAAAUCGUUGUAGCUGCAGCAUUUUAUUUUUUUUUGAAAUCACUGACUAAGCAGCGGUUUAAGUGAGAAUUUUAUUUUUGAGAAAAUGGCAGCAAUUUCUGUGAAUUUGUUUUCCUUUUUCUAAAAAAUCUUGGCAGCUAUUUUAGUGAACUAAUUUUUAUCAAAAUAUUGCUGCCAAUUUUUUUUUUUAAAAAAAUUUUAUUAAAUGUUGGUGAAUUAAUUUUAAAAAAUAAUUAUACGAUUUUUAAAAAAAAUUGGCUAUGAUUUAUUUUUUAGAAAAAACUUCCACCAAGCAACGACUUUUUAUAAUUAAAAUUCACUAAAACGCUGCCUUGGCAGAAAUUUUUUAGUUAAUAUAAAUGUUGCAAUUGCAGUGAUUUUAAAAAAUAUAUAUAUACAAUAAUUUGGAAUUUUUUUUUAAAAAAAAUCAUUUAGAGAAAUCUUUACUAAAAAUUGUAAUGCAAUUUUUAUUUUGAUCAAUAUUAAAAAAGAAAAAUCACCACCAUUUAAUACGACUUUUUAUUUAAAAAAUUGGCAACAUUUUUAUUAAAAAGAAAAAUUUACUAGAAGCGAUUUUUUUUAAUUUAAAAGAAUUUUUCAUUAAAAUGCUGAUUUUAAUUAUUUUUUAAAAAAAUUAUCCACAUUAAAUAAUUUAUUUAAAAAUAAUUGGCAGCUAUGUUUUUUAAAAAAUACUUUACUUUAAUAGCUUCCAAGGAAGUGAUCUUUAAAAAAAGAAAAAAACAUUUCCACAAUAAUCGCUUCCAUGAUAGCGAUUUUAUUUUUUAAAAAAUAUCCCACUAAAAUUGCUGCUCAGGCAACAAUUUUCUUUUUAAAAAAUAUAAACAAAAUCGCUGAUAGGUCAGCGAUUUUGAGACUUAACGGCGUGAAAAUAAAAUCACUACUUUAGUAGCGAUUUACCGGUUUGGCUAAAAAAGAAAUUGAUGUAACCCUUUGAAAUUUUUGAUAUUAUUUUUUACCCUUUACACUUCGAAUUCAAAUUAUUGUCAUAAUAAUCUUCUAGAGCCGUCAAUAUGAACUUGGCCUAGUGAUCCAGCCUGACCUAACUCGAAAUUUAAUAGGGUUGGGCUACGAUUUUUGGAGCCCAUUUUUUAAAAAAAAUUUUAGUCCGACCUGAAUAAGCCUGCUGAUUUGUGGGGCUUGAGAAAUAUCGGUAGGACAGACCCCUGGGCCAAUAAAAUUAAUUUAAAAUGUAGCAUAAUAUUAAAAUUUAAAAUUAAAGAGAGUUCAAACUCAAAACAAUUAGGUUAUAUUAAGUUCACCAUCAGCUCACACAUCAUAACAUUUAUUAUUCUAUUACCUACUUAAUUUUUUUUUAAUAUAUGCUCCUGUUUAAUUUUAUUGAUACCUACUCUUUUUUGUUGGUUAUAUUUUACAUUUUUAAUAACAUAUAUGUUCAAUAAUUAUUUUCUUAAUGAAUGCUUCAGAGUCAAACAAUAACAAGUAAAAAUAAAUCGGGAAAAUAGUAUACUAUAAAAGUAAAAUAUAAAAAAUCUACCUAGAAUCUUCAGGUUAUUUAGAUAUUUAUACUUUUAUAAAAAAAAAACUUAAUAAAUAUUAUAAAGAAAAUUUAAUUUGUGAAAUUGAUUAAAAAAUAGUAAUAUUAACAUCAUGUAAUAUUUUUUGUCGAUAUUUAUGAUAAUAUUUUGAAUUAUAAUUUAUAAUUUAAUUUAAUAAUUCUAAAAAUAAUAUAAUUUUUAAAAAAGUGACUGACCCGACAAGCAUGUGGCCCACGUAUUUGUGGGUUAGGCUGACCGUUUUCUGGCUCACAGCAAAAAAUAGGCUAGCUAGACCUGACCCGUUAAAUAUUGAAGCCAGUAUAAAUUAGCCCGUAUGGAAUAGACUAGUCCAUAUUGACAGCUCUUAUAAUUUUCAUAUCAAAUCACAGGGAUGUGAUAUAAAUAGAAAUGGAAAUACAUAUUAAUAAAAUAAUUAUUUACUAUGUAAUAGAAGUGUAUUUCACAAGUUUGUAUGCAAUAUAUAAUUUCUUCUUUGAGUUAUCAUAAUCAUGGGAAAGAAGCUACUAAGCUACGAGACAUAUUUAUAAGAUUUGGAUAAUCUUUCUUUCUUUAAAAUUUAAAAUUUAAUUUCUCACAUUAGUGAAAUGAGAUAAGAUUAAAACUUAAUUAAUAUAAUCGGACCAACUAUAAAUAAAUUAAUUUAAUUUUUGAAAUUUGUUGACAUAUUAUUGUUGACUAAUUUUUCUAGAGAGAUCUAAAACAUCUAGAAUCGCAAUUUCUAGUUUAAAAAAACAUGGCAGAUUUGAUGUGCCUCUGGUAGGCCAUAAUUCAAAAUCAGCCACAUAUGUACAAAAGUCGCCCAGUGCAAUUAUACAUUUUGAAAUUUUUGAUUCCGUCAUUAUCUGAGGUGGUUUAGACCUCUACAUAUGAAUUUACGUAAAAUUAAUAAUUUUUAUCUAAAUAAUAUAUAUAUAUAUAUAUAAGAAUUUAUGAAUAUUUUACUAUAAAUCUAAGUUACUAUAUUAUAAUAUGAACUUCAUAUUAAUUUAAAAAGAAAAAUAUAAAGUCACCAUUGAAAUUGUCUCGAAUUUUUAAAAAGAAACUUUAACUUUACAAUCGUCCUAUUAUCCCACUAAACAAUUUUGAAUAGAUAUAAUUACAUCAUUUUUCGUCUAUCUAACAAGAAAAUGGUGUGCAAUCUCUCAAAGAGAGUGAGCACCUUAAAAUAACUAAUAUAAUUGUAUUUUUACAAGUAUUUUGUUAUAAAAUAUAUUUUCUUAAUUUUCUUAUUAUUUUAACUUUUUUUUCCUUUUUAUUUUUUCUCUUUUUUUCUUCUUUCUUUUCAAAAAUUGAUUUUCAUCACCAUCAAUUGAAAUUUUUUACUUUCAAUGUCAUUUUUACCAUAACUUUACUUUCUGCUUUUUUAUUACUAUUAGUUUUACUCUCUUUAGUUUUAAAUUUUUAUCUAAAUAUGUUAUUACAUUUUGGACAAUUCGAUAAACUCAUUAGAUUUGAAGAUGAUUAGAAAGUAUCAUAUAGUAUUUUUAUUCGAUUUCAAUUAAGUUCUUUCAAUUUUCGAGAAAUUAAUUGAUUCUUUUAAAAUUUUCAUUUCUAAUUUUGAAUGUAUGUAAAAAUGUCACGACCCAAAUCGGGCCGCGACUGGCACCCACACUUACCCUCCUGUGUGAGCGAACCAACCAAAUCUAAACCUUAACAUUUCAAUAUAAUAUCAACAAAAGUAAUGCGGAAGACUUAAACUCAUUAAUAAAAUCAAUAACUAUUAUUAUCUCCAAAAUCUGGAAGUCAUCAUCACAAGAACAUCUAUGAUCAAAGUACUAAACUAAGAGUAUCCUAAAAAGCUAAAACAAGUAAAAGCUAGUCCAUGCCGGAACUUCAAGGCAUCAAGACAUGAAAAAGAAGAUCCAGUCCAAGCUAGAAGCAUUAGCUCACCCUGAAAUCCGGUGUAAUGAAGACUGGCUAGAGUUGCGGUUGAGUUGAAGACGAUGGCACGUCUGCUGCACUCCACAAAUAACAAAGAAGAAAACAUAAAAGUAGGGGGUCAGUACAAACACAAGUACUGAGUAGGUAUCAUCGGCCAACUCAAAAUAGAAAACAGUAUAUACCAACUAAUAUCAUAAAAUCAACUAUGAUACUCAACAUGUAGAAUUUACAAUUACCAUAACCCUUGGUUACAACACCAAGUUCAUCAAUGAGGACUUACGCCUCCUCAUCAUACUCAUUUGGGAUUUAGGUUCAUUAGAUUGAGUAUAUUAACAUCUUUCAAGAUUCAUUAUCUUUAUUUCUCUCGUGUCGAUACGUGACACUCCGCUCCUCAUAUACUAUCCUGGUGUCGGAACGUGACACUCCGAUCCUCAUAUACUAUCCUGGUACCGGAACGUGGCACCCGAUCCAUAUUCUAUCCUGGUGUCGGAACGUGACACUCUGAUCCUCAUAUACUAUCCUGGUACCGGAACGUGGCACCCGAUCCAUAUUCUAUCCUGUUGUCGGAACGUGACACUCCGAUCCUCAUAUACUAUCCUGGUACCGAAACGUGGCACCCGAUCCAUAUUCUAUCCUGGUGUCGGAACGUGAUACUCCGAUCCUCAUAUACUAUUCUGGUACUGGAACGUGGCACCCGAUCCAUAUUCUAUCCUGGUGUCGGAACGUGACACUCCGAUCCUCAUAUACUAUCCUUGUAUCGAACGUGGCACCCGAUCCUCAUAUACUAUCCUGGUACCGGAACGUGGCACCCGAUCCAUAUUCUAUCCUGGUGUCGGAACGUGACACUCCGAUCCUCAUUCUAUCCUGGUACCGGAACGUGGCACCCGAUCCCUUAAUCUCCUUCUAUCAAUUCAUCAAGCCUUCUUUCUUACCAAGGCAUCAUCAAUAUCAUUAUUUUAGUUCAUCACGCCUUCUUUUAUACCAAGGCCUCAUCAUUAACAAAGAGAUUAGGGUUUUUCAAGAUUUGGGAUUCAAUAACUUCAUCAUGCUUAUAUAAUCACAAUUAUAUAAUUACAUUCAAGCAAGCAUACAAGUAAGCACAUAGCAGGGUUUACAAUAUUAUCAAUACAUAUCAUUCGCUAUUAAGAGUUUACUACGAAUAUCGUAAGAGAAACCAUAACCUACCUCCACCGAAGAUUAGUGAUCAAGCAAGCAAUUUCCCCAAGCUUUGUUCUUCGUUUUCUCUCUGCUUCGUUCAACUUUCUCUCUCUUUCUCUUGUUCUUUCUAUUUUCUUUAUUCAAACCCUCUUUCUUUUACCCUAAUUAGUAUAUAAUUAAGAAUAAAAGAUGGCAAUAAUAACCCACUAAUUAACUUAAGGUUACCUCUUUUAACCCCCAAGUAAUUGAGUUAUUAAUAUAAACCCACGAAAUAUAUAAUUAUAGCAAGAAAUAGUCCAAAACGCCUCUUUAAAACUUAACCAGAAAUCCGACUCCGACUGGGAUUAUGCAACCUGUGACGGACCGUCAUGCCUGCGACGGUCCGUCCUGCUGCUCCGUCACAGAGUUCAGAGACUGAAAUUCUCUGAAGAGUCUGUGACGGUCCAUCACGCCUGUGACGGUCCGUCCUGCACUUUCGUCACGAAGAUCAGAGAGUCGAUUUCAGUACCCAAAUUUCAGAAUUUCUAAGUGUUUUGAAACGAGACCCCUCGACGGUCCGUCGUGGGUUCCGUCGUCUCAGCCUGUUUUUCCAGAAAUAAAAUUUGCUGCUCAAAACGACUAAACAGGUCGUUACAAAAAAUGAGUACUUGAUGAUACCUUCAAAAUUUUAAAUUUUCUUUUAAAAAAAUAAUUAAUUGUGUUAUCAAUAACUCAAUAAAGUCUAAAUAAUUGUAUGAAUCUUAUAAAGAAUUUGACCAGAGAAGGAAAACAAAAAAAGAAAAGAAAAAAAUGAAAGUGAGUUUUAAUUUGACACGAAGGGUUGUAAGGUGAAGAAAAAAGAAAGAAAAUGAAAGGAUGAAAGUGGAAGGUGGAAGAUGAAAAUAAAUUUAAGAUAUAUCAAAAUUAAAAUUCAAAAGUAAGAGAGAGAGAAAUAAAAAAAAAGAUUAAAAAAAAAUUAAUUGAAAAAAAUUAUAAUUUUAAUUAACAUGUGUCAUUUAAUGAUUGGAGUGUGAACUUACUUGCUUGUUAUAAUUUGAAGCUAAUCAAAAAAUGAUAUAAUAACAUCUGUUCAAAAUUGUUUAGUAAAGUAAUAUGACAGUCACAAAGUUAAAAUAUACGUAUAAAAAUUCGAAAAAGACAAAAUUAGGCCAAUCACUUUAUGUAUGACGCGAAAGGCAACCACUUUCACGGAUCCAUGUAUAUUGAUGAUAAGGCAUGCCAUUCCAAUUCUAUUUGUGUAUUUAUUAGCCAAAACAUUCUACAUUCUUCGUUUAAAAUUGAAUAAUCUAAUUUAACUUGGAACGAAGUUUAAGAAAGAAAAAAUAUUUUUUAAUUUUGUGAUUCUAAAUAAAAGUUACACCAAAUGUAUCAAAAUACAUUUUGAUCUUAUAGCCUUAAACAUGUUACGUAAAUAUGAUUUGAUUUUUUUCAAUUUGCUUGAUCGCUAAAACAUGACUUAAUUCUUUUGCUUCUAUAUUCACGCACGUGCUUAGCUUUCUAUACCAAGGCUGAGUGUUCGAGAAUUUGAGAAAGAAUAAAAAGUUAAUUCAACAAGAAAUAAUGAGAGUUGUUGGUAAUAUAAAUUUAUUAUUUGAAUAUACAAAGCGGUUAAAUUUUUCGAAGUUUUAAUUAAUUUUAAGGUUCUUAUUAUUAUUAGAGAGAUAAUAAAAAUGAUAAUUUUAUCUUAUUCCAAAACUUCAAUAAUAUUGUUUUCUUUUUGUAUAUAUAAAAAGAGAUUCUAAAUCUUUUGAACACAAGACUAGAGGAUUGACUCUGAAAUUUAUGAGUUCAAAAAUUUAGCAAACAACAAUGACUUUACCAAACAACAAUGACUUAACUACUGAUUGAGCAAUGCCAAGUUGCGCCACCACCCCACGGUGGCGCAGCUGAGCUAACGUUUAUUGAAAAGUUAACCACUCCAGUCUUUACCGUUUGCAUUUAACUUAAAUUAUUUUAGCUGUUUACAUUUAUUGUGUUAAUUGUAAUUUUUUUAAUUUAAACUAAUUAACUAAAAAUUGGGGGGCCCUAAAAUUGGGGACCAAUGAAUUUUUUUUAAAAACCUAACUAUCCGCCCGUGAUAUUAUGGGAUGUGAUUUCAUAUUCACUAAAAUCAUACUAUGAGAAUUUCAUAUCAUGAUUUGAGAUACUUUUAUUAUAAAAAGAUCCACAAGUUUAUGUUUUGUUAAAACAAUCUCACAUUUAUAUGUACUAACUAUUUAUUUUCGAUACGCACAACGUCUAAUAUCCAUCGUUUACGGCUAGGACUAUGGGGUAUCUAAUACCAUUCAGUCCCUUAGCUUUUGUCUCUCAGUGUCAAGUGUCGGUCCAGCAGAGUGCUUUCGUCGUUGGUGUUCUUUUCGAUUUCUACUCAUUUCACCUCUCCACGACACCUGGCGCAUUACCCCAAGGAUGUCCUAUAGUUCCUCCACCGAACUGUAGUACGGAAUCAUCGCCAAAAGAUCUCGGUCAGAGGUUCCUUAUUGUUUCAACUGCAAACUCCAAAAAAUGAUCCCUCUUUAUACUGCUUGUUAUUCGUUAGCUACUCUAAUUCUCACCCAAGUAUUCCGUUCAUUCGGACUCUCCAUUUUGGUUAGCUCGGUAGAGUGGCAAGCAUGGUGCACAUGGAAUCCCGUGUGAAUCAUCAAGGACCAACUUGCAAGGCUAAAUACUCUUUGGUGACCGAUAGCGAAGUAGUACCGUGAGGAAAGGGUGAAAAGAACCCCCAUCGGGGAGUGAGAUAGAACAUGAAACCCGCAUGGAGUAUUAUAUCCCUGUCACAAUAGGUCCUUCUCUUCCUACAGUACAGGUAGGAUCGGGAGCAACAAUGUUGGGGCAGUCAGUGUUGCGGUUGACGAUUCAACAUUUGGUGAUAAUGCUACAGUAUGAUACCAAGAAAGCUAAGUCAACCACUGUUUUAUCCAAUUAAGGAUAACAACCCGCUCAAGAAUUUUCCGUUCUCCAUCAAAUACCAAAUCUUUUGGAAAGAUUUGUAUCUACUUAGGCUUUACAGCCUCACGUAGAUGAUGAAUCAAUUUCAUUGAUAUGUCUGGCACUAUAUCUUUGUUAGUGUUGUCUGCCUAUAAUAAUAGCUGAAUCAAAAACUUUUCAUUUCAACUUAUUCUUUCAAUUGAAAUUGACCAAUCCGAGUAAUCAACCACUUUUUUUUAAUCUGCCUCAAACACCCUAACCUUACCGCCAAAAAACCGUCUGUAUAGGGCAUGAACGCUCACAUUUUUUUGCUUACUCUUCAUGAUAUUGGAAAAUCUCAUUGCUAUUACUCAAACUUGCAUUAAACAUAUGCUUGCAUAUGUAAAUAAAAUUUAUAACGACUUUUAAUAAUUUAUCAGUCUCACUGAAAUAAAAUUUAUUAUUCUCACAAAAAUGUAGUUAUUUAACACACAACAAUCGAUUGUUAAGUAAUAUUAAAGACUAGUACACCACAAUUUAUAUUCAAUAUUUUUUUUAUUGAGUUAAAGUUAGAUUAAACAAUUAAUUUGGGAAAGAACAAAUAACAAUAUAAAUAAUUUAUUAUGCAAUUUAAUAAUUUCUUAUCUAUUUGAUAAAUUGAAUAAAUAAUUGAGACUAUUUUAAUUAUUUUACAACUUUUGAAUUCGUAUGUUUGUGAAAAAAUAUAAAUACCAAAAUUUUAUAUUACAUAUCCAAAUAUAACUUUAAUUUCAUUUCAUAAUUUCAUAUCAUAAUAUUAUAUUAUAAUAUCAUAUCCGUGACCAAACAUGCCCUAAAUUUAAACUCUAAUUUAACAUGUGGAUCAUCAAGGAAUAGGACAAUUGUGCGGUACAAAUAAUCUAGUUUAACAUAUACUUUUUUCUUUUCUUUUUUCAAAUAGUAUUAAUUUUUAGACCAAAAAUAAAUAAUUUAGGCUUAAAUCAUCUGCGGCCCCUUAAAGUUGUCCACAUAAUUCACUUAGACACCUGAACUAGGACUUAUACUUAUUAAACACCUAAAUUAUCAAGAAAUGUGCCUAUUAAACACAAAACGCUGAUGUGACAAUAAAUGUAUCUCACUGCUGCUGAGCGCGUGAAUGCGUUUUUUUUAUUUUUUUUUAAAAAAAUAUUUAUACCUACUUUGUUGACACUUGGCAUGCAUUGACUAAAUAUAUUAAAAAAAUUAAUUUAAUUAAGCAUAAAUCUUUUAAAUCAUUAAAAAAAAAAACCACCCCACACUCAUCUUUCUUCAACUCAAUAUUUUAAAAACUUCAAAUUUCUCUGCCUUUUGCUAUGAUUCAUUUUUUUUUUCAUUUUCUGUAAACAAAAUACCUGCUGAAUUUUCAAGAAGAAGAAAAAAUGGACCAUUUGGAGUUAAAAAAUUGACCCAUAUCUGUACUUUUUUAUUUUCAAUAACUCCAAUUGAGCAACUAUCACCAUCAUAAACUUAUUAGAAAGCUAUAAAAUAUUUGAUAUAAUUUUAAUUUCUCUUUUCUGUCGAUUUCAAAAUAAUUUAUCAAGGUCGAUUAUAUUUACAAAAUCGAAAUAGUCGUCGAAGGAAUAACAUAUAACGAAGAAAAUGAAAGAGGAAAACAUUUGGUGGAUGAAUUCGGAAUGAGAUGGGGUUAGACAUUUUUUUUUGUUAUGCAGAGGAAUGGUGAUUGUGAAACAACAGAGAAGAAGAAGAUGAAGAAAAAAGGACAGUAAGUUAGAUGGAAUGGGAGUUAGGUGGGGGUGAGGGUGGGGAAAGAUUUUUUUUUAAUCAAUUUAAUUUUUUAUAUAUUAUUAAAGGAAGGAAAAUAUUCUUUAUUUUUUAAAGUUAAAAUAAUGGGCCCAUAUGCCACGUGUGGUAGUUUUAUUCGUAAUUUUUGUCAAGAUAACGAGUGUGCAUUACACGCACAAUAUUUUAAUUUGCUUUUUGAAAUUUGUUUACAUGAUGUUGUGGACUAAAUUUUCUAAAGAGAUCUAAAAUAUCUAGAUUUAUAAUUUCAGGUCACAAAAAACAAUAAAAAAAGACAUAGCAGAUUUGAUGUGCCUCUUGUCAUUAAUAAUUCAAUAUCAGCCAUAUGAUGACUCAAAUUAGGACAAAAGAGGCCCAUUACAACCACACAUUUUUCGAGGUCGAUUAAGAUGUCAAUAAUUUAAACUCUAAAUAAUAGAUAUACAUUAUGAUAUCUAUUGGGGAAUAUUUUUAUAUCUAUUUGAUCAUGAACUCAAUUGUUAUUAUAAUAUUAAGGGCUCCAUAUAUGUGUUGUGUGUAUUUCUUAGCCAAACAUUAUAUCAAUUAACAUGGCCACCGUGAUUGAGCAAUGUCAAGUUGCGCCACCUCCCGGCGGCGCAACGGAGGUGAUACUCCCUCUUACUUAUUUUGACCAUGUUUGGUUAGGGUUUCGCCGUAUGAGGCGGAUAUUAUUUUACAAGCUCUCCAUUUCCAAACCCGAUUUCGUUCAAAACAUUAUUCCUCCUCUUAAAAAUUCACUCUCCCUCACUCUCAAACACUAUACGCCCUUAGCCGGAAACGUUGCUUGUCCACUAGAUACAAACGGAUAUCCUGAGUUACGUUAUGUGACAGGAGAUUCUGUGUCUGUUACUUUUUUCGAGACUGAUAUGAAUUUCAAUUAUCUCAUUGGUGACCAUCCGCGUAAGGCUAAGGAUUUUUAUCACUUUGUUCCUAAGUUAGGGGAACCUAAGGAUGCACCGGGGGUCCAACUAGCCCCGCUCUUAGCCAUUCAGGUGACACUUUUUCCGAAUCUUGGUGUAUCCAUUGGUUUCACUAACCAUCAUGUUGUUGGUGAUGGAGCUACUAUAGCAGGGUUCAUUAAGGCGUGGGCUCUACUCCACAAAUUCGGUGGACAUGAACAAUUCUUAUCGAAUGAGCUAAUUCCAUUUUAUGAUAGGUCCGUAGUAAAAGACCCAUAUGGACAAGGGAUGUCCAUCUGGGAAGAAAUGAAAAGCAAGAAUCUAGAUAUGCGUGACGUUAUGACUCCUCCUCCUGAACACAAGGUUCGAGGUACAUUUACUAUUAAAAGAGAUGAAAUAGAGAAACUGAAGAAUUUUAUAUUGAACUCAAGAAGACGGGGUAGUAGUAGUACUACUCUAACUCAUGUAACAUCUUUUACUGUAACGAGUGCUUAUAUAUGGACUUGUUUGAUAAAAUCAGAGGACGCGAUAGGAGAAGAGAUGAUCAUAGAUGAUAGUGUAAUGGAAUGUUUCGGAUGUGCAGCAGAUUUUAGAGCGCGAUUCAAUCCACCACUUCCUCAAUCUUAUUUUGGGAAUUGCAUAGUUGGGUAUGUCACAAAAUCAAUAAGGCAUGUUGACUUAGUUGGAAGGGAAGGGUUUAAAAUUGCGGUAGAAUCAAUUGGAGAAGUCAUUCAAGAAAAAAUGAAGUAUGAUGAAUGGGUCCUUAAUGGUGAUUGGUUAAAAGAACUCGACAAUGUAGAUGUGAUUCGAUCGUUUUCAAUUGCUGGAUCGCCAAAACAUGACUUAUAUGCUGCUGAUUUUGGAUGGGGAAGAGCCGCAAAGUUAGAAUUUAUUUCUAUCGACAAUGAUGAUGACGGAAUUUCGAUGUCUCUUAGUAAAUCUAAAGAUUUUGAUGGAGAUUUAGAGAUUGGUUUGUGUUUGUCUAAAACUCGAAUGAAUGCUUUUGCUACUAUAUUCACUCACGGGCUUAGCUUUCUAUGCCAAGUCUGAGUACUUUUCGAGGAUUUGGCAAAGACCCCUACCCUUACAGACUCUCAUAUUCAAUUGCUUGAUAUUAGUUUUUUCUAAGCCGAAUAAUUAAUUUUUUUUUAAAUUUUGUUUAUGUAUUUUGCACCUUCAAGAGUAAUGUAUCUUCUAAAAGAAAAUGUACUGCUAUAUAUAUUAUACUUUUCUUUUUGACAAAUCUUCUUAAGGUUUAAUUAUUGGAAAAUACAUGAAGUCU